rnacentral:rRNA from 2 species
UUAAUUUGAGAGUUUGAUCCUGGCUCAGGACGAACGCUGGCGGCGUGCCUAAUACAUGCAAGUCGAACGAACUCUGGUAUUGAUUGGUGCUUGCAUCAUGAUUUACAUUUGAGUGAGUGGCGAACUGGUGAGUAACACGUGGGAAACCUGCCCAGAAGCGGGGGAUAACACCUGGAAACAGAUGCUAAUACCGCAUAACAACUUGGACCGCAUGGUCCGAGUUUGAAAGAUGGCUUCGGCUAUCACUUUUGGAUGGUCCCGCGGCGUAUUAGCUAGAUGGUGGGGUAACGGCUUACCAUGGCAAUGAUACGUAGCCGACCUGAGAGGGUAAUCGGCCACAUUGGGACUGAGACACGGCCCAAACUCCUACGGGAGGCAGCAGUAGGGAAUCUUCCACAAUGGACGAAAGUCUGAUGGAGCAACGCCGCGUGAGUGAAGAAGGGUUUCGGCUCGUAAAACUCUGUUGUUAAAGAAGAACAUAUCUGAGAGUAACUGUUCAGGUAUUGACGGUAUUUAACCAGAAAGCCACGGCUAACUACGUGCCAGCAGCCGCGGUAAUACGUAGGUGGCAAGCGUUGUCCGGAUUUAUUGGGCGUAAAGCGAGCGCAGGCGGUUUUUUAAGUCUGAUGUGAAAGCCUUCGGCUCAACCGAAGAAGUGCAUCGGAAACUGGGAAACUUGAGUGCAGAAGAGGACAGUGGAACUCCAUGUGUAGCGGUGAAAUGCGUAGAUAUAUGGAAGAACACCAGUGGCGAAGGCGGCUGUCUGGUCUGUAACUGACGCUGAGGCUCGAAAGUAUGGGUAGCAAACAGGAUUAGAUACCCUGGUAGUCCAUACCGUAAACGAUGAAUGCUAAGUGUUGGAGGGUUUCCGCCCUUCAGUGCUGCAGCUAACGCAUUAAGCAUUCCGCCUGGGGAGUACGGCCGCAAGGCUGAAACUCAAAGGAAUUGACGGGGGCCCGCACAAGCGGUGGAGCAUGUGGUUUAAUUCGAAGCUACGCGAAGAACCUUACCAGGUCUUGACAUACUAUGCAAAUCUAAGAGAUUAGACGUUCCCUUCGGGGACAUGGAUACAGGUGGUGCAUGGUUGUCGUCAGCUCGUGUCGUGAGAUGUUGGGUUAAGUCCCGCAACGAGCGCAACCCUUAUUAUCAGUUGCCAGCAUUAAGUUGGGCACUCUGGUGAGACUGCCGGUGACAAACCGGAGGAAGGUGGGGAUGACGUCAAAUCAUCAUGCCCCUUAUGACCUGGGCUACACACGUGCUACAAUGGAUGGUACAACGAGUUGCGAACUCGCGAGAGUAAGCUAAUCUCUUAAAGCCAUUCUCAGUUCGGAUUGUAGGCUGCAACUCGCCUACAUGAAGUCGGAAUCGCUAGUAAUCGCGGAUCAGCAUGCCGCGGUGAAUACGUUCCCGGGCCUUGUACACACCGCCCGUCACACCAUGAGAGUUUGUAACACCCAAAGUCGGUGGGGUAACCUUUUAGGAACCAGCCGCCUAAGGUGGGACAGAUGAUUAGGGUGAAGUCGUAACAAGGUAGCCGUAGGAGAACCUGCGGCUGGAUCACCUCCUUUCUAAGGAA